rnacentral:rRNA from 1 species
GACGAACGCUGGCGGCGUGCUUAACACAUGCAAGUCGAACGGAAAGGCCCUGCUUUUGUGGGGUGCUCGAGUGGCGAACGGGUGAGUAACACGUGAGUAACCUGCCCUUGACUUUGGGAUAACUUCAGGAAACUGGGGCUAUUACCGGAAAGGAGUUCCUGCUGCUUGGUGGGGGUUGGAAGGUUUCGGCGGUUGGGGAUGGACUCGCGGCUUAUCAGCUUGUUGGUGGGGUAGUGGCUUACCAAGGCUUGGACGGGUAGCCGGCCUGAGAGGGUGACCGGCCACAUUGGGACUGAGAUACGGCCCAGACUCCUACGGGAGGCAGAAGUGGGGAAUAUUGCACAAUGGGCUGAAGCCUGAUGCAGCAACGCCGCGUGCGGGAUGACGGCCUUCGGGUUGUAAACCGCUUUCGCCUGUGACGAAGCGUGAGUGACGGUAAUGGGUAAAGAAGCACCGGCUAACUACGUG